AGUAGGGAAUCUUCCGCAAUGGGCGAAAGCCUGACGGAGCAACGCCGCGUGAGUGAUGAAGGUCUUCGGAUCGUAAAACUCUGUUAUUAGGGAAGAACAUAUGUGUAAGUAACUGUGCACAUCUUGACGGUACCUAAUCAGAAAGCCACGGCUAACUACGUGCCAGCAGCCGCGGUAAUACGUAGGUGGCAAGCGUUAUCCGGAAUUAUUGGGCGUAAAGCGCGCGUAGGCGGUUUUUUAAGUCUGAUGUGAAAGCCCACGGCUCAACCGUGGAGGGUCAUUGGAAACUGGAAAACUUGAGUGCAGAAGAGGAAAGUGGAAUUCCAUGUGUAGCGGUGAAAUGCGCAGAGAUAUGGAGGAACACCAGUGGCGAAGGCGACUUUCUGGUCUGUAACUGACGCUGAUGUGCGAAAGCGUGGGGAUCAAACAGGAUUAGAUACCCUGGUAGUCCACGCCGUAAACGAUG
rnacentral:rRNA from 1 species